AUUGAACGCUGGCGGAAUGCUUUACACAUGCAAGUCGAGCGGCAGCGCGGGGCAACCUGGCGGCGAGCGGCGAACGGGUGAGUAAUGCAUCGGAACAUGUCCAGUCGUGGGGGAUAGCCCGCCGAAAGGCGGGUUAAUACCGCAUACGCCCGGGAGGGGAAAGCGGGGGACCUGCAAGGGCCUCGCGCGAUUGGGUUGGCCGAUGUCCGAUUAGCUAGUUGGUGGGGUAAAGGCCCACCAAGGCGAUGAUCGGUAGCUGGUCUGAGAGGAUGAUCAGCCACACUGGGACUGAGACACGGCCCAGACUCCUACGGGAGGCAGCAGUGGGGAAUUUUGGACAAUGGGGGCAACCCUGAUCCAGCCAUUCCGCGUGAGUGAAGAAGGCCUUCGGGUUGUAAAGCUCUUUUGUCCGGAGCGAAACGGUUGUGGUGAAUAUCCACGACUACUGACGGUACCGGAAGAAUAAGCACCGGCUAACUACGUGCCAGCAGCCGCGGUAACAC
rnacentral:rRNA from 1 species